rnacentral:rRNA from 1 species
GUUUUUCGCUCUAUGAUCAGCCCGCGUGAGAUUAGCUAGUUGGUGAGGUAACGGCUCACCAAGGCAACGAUCUCUAGAUGGUCUGAGAGGAUGAUCAUCCACACUGGAACUGAGACACGGUCCAGACUCCUACGGGAGGCAGCAGUAGGGAAUAUUGCACAAUGGAGGAAACUCUGAUGCAGCGACGCCGCGUGAGUGAUGAAGGCCUUCGGGUUGUAAAGCUCUGUCGCACGGGAAUAAGACAGUG